rnacentral:rRNA from 1 species
AGUGAACGCUGGCGGUAGGCCUAACACAUGCAAGUCGAACGGCAGCACAGUAAGAGCUUGCUCUUACGGGUGGCGAGUGGCGGACGGGUGAGGAAUACAUCCGAAUCUACUUUUUCGUGGGGGAUAAUGUAGGGAAACUUACGCUAAUACCGCAUACGACCUACGGGUGAAAGCAGGGGAUCUUCGGACCUUGCGCGAUUGAAUGAGCCGAUGUCGGAUUAGCUAGUUGGCGGGGUAAAGGCCCACCAAGGCGACGAUCCGUAGCUGGUCUGAGAGGAUGAUCAGCCACACUGGAACUGAGACACGGUCCAGACUCCUACGGGAGGCGGCAGUGGGGAAUAUUGGACAAUGGGCGCAAGCCUGAUCCAGCCAUACCGCGUGGGUGAAGAAGGCCUUCGGGUUGUAAAGCCCUUUUGUUGGGAAAGAAAAGCAGCAGGUUAAUACCCCGCUGUUCUGACGGUACCCAAAGAAUAAGCACCGGCUAACUUCGUG